CAUUCCCCUUCAUGCACGAACAAUGUUUUCAAAAGCAAUCAUGAAUAAGAAGCGCCAUCUUAUAAUAGCCCGUGAAAACAAAAUUUCAAACUAUGGCCAAAGAGUUCAUUAUUCGUUCCUCUUCCAAGCAUCAACUGUUAACAGGAAAAAUAUAUAGAACGGAUCAUCUCCUCUCCUGGCUCUCGUUCUGAUUCUGAUACAAAAUAGCCUCCACUGGCCAAUCAUCGACCAGGUAAUCUUGCUGUUGCUGGUAGUCAUCAUAUUGACUUUGGCGCUGCCAUUGCCCAGCGCCGUGGCUUUGACGAGGGUCGGAAGUAAGUGUAGAACUUGCCACUGGCGGUUGAUGAUUCAUGUAACUAUAUCUCGCCCGUUGACUGGGAAGAUAAUCCCUAUCCGUUGCAUGAGGUUUCACAUUGUUAUGGCUAUUUUCGGGAGGGAUGAUAUCGAAGGAUGGGAUGGGAGCCUGAGGAUGUUGGUGGUGGUUUUGACCCUCGCCAAGACCUUGAUUGCUGCUCGAUAAGUAGGCGUCAAGUUCAGAAUGGCCGUAACCUUCUUGCCGUUCGUUACCUCCAUUAAUAUCGUUAUUGUAAUCAUGGACAUCGCCUGCAGAUAAUACGCCA
rnacentral:sRNA from 1 species